UCGGAUAUGGUGUAACGGCUAACAUUAUCGCCUUUCACCUUGUGAUCGCGAUAGCUCGGGGUUCGAUUCCCCGUAUCCGAG